AAAUGAAUAUUAAUGAGGGGGUCAAGGAAGACAACAAGGUUGUAAACAUAAGUGAAUGAGAAGAUGGUAGCUUCCUCAAAAGCAACAGGGAAGCCUGGAAGAAGGGAUGUGUUGGGGGAAGGUGGGGGAGGAGAGGAAGACAAUUGUUUUGGAUGGGCUGAGCUUGAUAUACCUACGGGACAUCCAGUUCAUGGUGUCCAAUGGGUAGGUUAGGAGCUCAGGAGUCUAAGGCAGGAUAUGUAGAUCAAGUGCAUAGAGAGAACUGAAUCCAAGGGAGCUGAUGAGGUCACAAAGAAAAAGAGCACAACAUAGAAAGAAGGCCCAAAACACUGCCUCAGGGCACUCUCAAUGUAGGUGCAAAGAAAUGAACAAAGAUCAUCGCAGAGACUGGGGAGGAGGGCUCAUAUAAGCAGAAGCCUUGAGAUACUCCAAGCAGACUUACCUCUGUGUUGUACACCCCAUAUAUCAGGAAGAUGAAGAGACCCUGUAAAAUAAAAUGGAGGGGAAAAGCUGUUAACUCUAAUCAUUUCAGCAGUAGAAAUACCUGAAAUAAACUUUCCUGGGAACAGACAAAAGAAGACACACUUCAUCAAGAUAAUUCUGGGUUUUUCUCAGUUAUCUAAGUGUGAUGGUACACAGCUGCAAUUCAACAGAUAAUUUCAAACUCUAUUCAGUUGUAGAACUAUAUGAAGGAUAAAUAACUCAAAUCUGAAUCCCAUUUAAGAGUUUGUAAUUUUACCUUUGUAUAGAUAAAAGAGAGAACCCUGUUAGGAACAGCUGGAAGGAACCAACUGCCAAACCUCAACUGGCACAGAAAUUUCUGGAACUCCUUACUCCAACAUUCUGUCCUGUUGAAGACUAAUCAUCAAAAAUAUCCCACUUAUUUCUGAAAUAUCUGCAAAGAUGAAAGAUUCUUCAGCUGUUACACAGGCCAUAUAAAUCUGCACUUCCAUCUUCAGAGUGAAGAAUCAGAAGGAAUAUUCCUGGAUAACAUCAGCCAACGUGGGUAAUGGGACAAAAUAAGAAAUCACAUUCAGGGUACCUGGAUGAAACCAUGGAAGACUCAUAUGGUCCUGAUCCAGCAAGCACUCACAACACCAAAAGACCCCUAGCACUUCCUAGGGUUUCAUGUGGCAUUUUAAUUAUUCUAUACCCCUGCUUCUUCAGCUUGACCACACCUCUCACCAAUAUCUUGCAGAAAAAUCAUGCUUUUCAUUAGCUGAAUAGGGUUCUUCCCAUGGAGCUGAGCAUGUGCCCUGGCCCCUUCCAGUGGUCAGGUCUCUUGCUAAAAGGGCAUGCUCUGCCAGAGGCUCCCAGUCAGUCCCUUGGACCUGUGAGAGGCAUCACUGAGGAGCUGUGCCGGAGAGGAUUGGCCACUGAGCCAGGAGAAGCCACCCAUCUCAUGAGACUUUAAGAAGAAUGACUACCCACUCUCACUCCCUCUUCAUUUCCCCAGUGAGCAUGUCACUUGGGACUCAGGUAGUCUUUCCCUUAGAUUUCUUGUGUGGGGAUCCCUCAUUUACCCUAGCAGCAAUGAUAACUAUGAGCCCACAGCAAUGAUAAUAUGUGCCACUUGUUGGAGUAAAACUGGGUCUAGACUUCCAGUCCUUGACCUACUCUUCUGCUGUAUGUUUUUUUGCCUGAGCCCAUGUGACCACACACUGAUACUGAGACAGGUAUUUUUAGUGUUGGCAGCAACCUUAUGGGUUCAAGAGGUUGGACACUUUUGGGUCCAGGUUGUGGUUGCUCAGGAGGAGCGGUGAUCUCUGUAACAACUCAGAGGAGAACAUAGCUCCUGCUGGGAGGAUACUACAGAUGAAAGAAUUAAGAAAGUCUAAGACAGGGCAUGGCUUGCCAGGAGAUUGAGACUUGUGAGCUAAGCAGACAGGACAAGUCAGAAGUAAAAGCGAAAUAUCUGUUCAGCAGACCCGCAAGUCUCCCACGAGUUUUUUGUCUCUUAGAAUGGUAUAAGAUGGAUGGAGAACUUUGUCAUUUUAAAAGUACUUAUCAACGUUUGCUUGUGAGGUUUUUGUGUUUUAGGCAUUUCUUUUGUUGUAAAUGAAAUAAAUUGUUGUCCUAUACCUUGA